AUUGAACGCUGGCGGCAGGCCUAACACAUGCAAGUCGAGCGGUUGAGGUAGCUUGCUACCGAUGCAGCGGCGAACGGGUGAGUAAUACAUGGGAAUCUGCCUGGUAGUGGGGGACAACGUUUCGAAAGGAACGCUAAUACCGCAUACGCCCUACGGGGGAAAGGGGGGGAUCGCAAGACCUCUCGCUAUCAGAUGAGCCCAUGUCAGAUUAGCUUGUUGGUGAGGUAAAGGCUCACCAAGGCGACGAUCUGUAACUGGUCUGAGAGGAUGAUCAGUCACACUGGAACUGAGACACGGUCCAGACUCCUACGGGAGGCAGCAGUGGGGAAUAUUGGACAAUGGGGGCAACCCUGAUCCAGCCAUGCCGCGUGUGUGAAGAAGGCCUUAGGGUUGUAAAGCACUUUCAGUGGGGAGAAAGGUGAUUCACCUAAUACGUGAGUCAAUUGAUGCUACCCACAGAAGAAGCACCGGCUAACUCCGUGCCAGCCGCCGCAGUAA
rnacentral:rRNA from 1 species